AUGGCCAAAGAUAAAUUUAAUUCCGGUCCGCGGUCCCUGAUUCAUCUUAUCCAAAACUCCUCCCUUUCCAGCGACGGCAGCGAUGGCGGAGCACGAGCAGGUGAGGGCGGCGCCUUCGUCGGACGGCUAGCCGCGGCGGAGGAGAAGGCGGACGCCAUGGGUGCGGCUACAGACGAGGCGGAGGAGAAGGCGGACGCCGUGGGCUUGCUGCACGGCUACAGCCGAGGCGGAGGAGAAGGCGGACGCCGUGGGUGUUCAUGGAGGAUGGUACGCCGGCCGCGUCAAGUCCCCUGCCCCCGGCCGCCAGCGCCUGUUCUCGGCCUCCAUCGCCCGGAGGCGUGCCCCUGCUGUCGGCCUUCGCGUCUGCUUCGUCUGCAUCACGCCAGCGCCGCCCUCGUCGUCGCGGCGUUCUUCUGCUUCCGGCGUUGCCCCGUCGCCCAUGCGCCGAGUUCUGCUGCGGCCUCUGUUCUUCCGCAACGAGUAGCAGCAGGUCGUCUGCGGUUGCGGCAGCGGUGUAGGCGAGCGAGGCAGAGGAGCGGUCAACACCGGCGUCGAGGGCAAGGUAGGCCGGGCGCAGUGUCCUCCGGCAUGUGGUGGCGCAUUUGUACGGCGCAGGAGGCUGGGCGCGUCGAUUCGGGUGAGGGGAGUGGGGUCCAGAUCUGGUCGAGGACGGGGCAACCGGCGGCGGCGGCGUGGCUGACGCUGGAUGGAGAGAGAGGCAGAGCAAGGCACGCCGAAUCGCUGGAUGGCGCACCUCCCCUAGCCUCCUUCCUCUCCCGGUCGUUGGGGAAGCAGGACGGCCACCUCUGCUGGACGCCCUUCCCUGGUCGACGACGAGCGAUGCGGGCUGACACGGUGGCGCCCUUCCGUUGUGGAGUACCUCAUUUCAUCCAAUCUGGCUGGUCCGCUCCCCACCUCGGCGGCUCCUUCAGUCCGGCAGCACACCACGCUCAAGCCUCCACCACCCCAACUCCUCAAGGCUUUUCUUUGGUGUAUCAGGCAUUCAGGCUGAACGAGGACGGAUCCAAGGUUGAGUACUGGGUGUGGAACCCCUUCAGAUCCAAGUUGGCUGCUGUUGUACUCUGUGGUGUGGACAACAUCUGGAUUUUUAGUAUAUUCCCGUUGGUUCUGUAG
rnacentral:rRNA from 1 species